rnacentral:rRNA from 1 species
UACGUAGGGUGCAGGCGUUAAUCGGAAUUACUGGGCGUAAAGCGUGCGCAGGCGGUUUCUUAAGUCAGAUGUGAAAUCCCCGGGCUUAACCUGGGAACUGCGUUUGAAACUGGAAGGCUUGAGUGUGGCAGAGGGGGGUGGAAUUCCACGUGUAGCAGUGAAAUGCGUAGAGAUGUGGAGGAACACCGAUGGCGAAGGCAGCCCCCUGGGCUAACACUGACGCUCAUGCACGAAAGCGUGGGGAGCAAACAGG